UCACCUCUGGGAAGGUCCGAGGAGCUAGAACGUCUGUCUGCCUGGGGCACAAGUUCCAAAGUGCUGAAGCCAUGUGGACCGCUCAGAGCCUCUCUUGCCCUUCGUUUCAGCCCUAACGCUUAUUUAAUGAUCUGGUGCGUUCCUUAGUGAGAAGCACACUUGGAAAUUUCAAAAACGACAAGCAGGUUUGAAUACUUACCCACCCCUCACCCCAAAUCUAUCAAAACCCUGCUUACUAUUGCCCAGCUCAAAAGCCACGUCCUCUUUGAAGCCUUCCAGGAAUAUCCCCCCAAAAUGUCAAACCCCUUCAGAUUCAAUUCUAGAGUACUUCCUCUUCUGUUUUUAUAUUCAUAUUUUAUUUCACAACUUGUGAAUAAAAUUACUUUCUAGAA